CUGAAAAUCACUUCAGUAAUAUUGCAUGUGAGAAUCUUUGUAACCAAAAAGAAAUGCAAUAAACCUCUCGGUUUGAAGGCGUCUUCAAUAUUUUACAAAUCACACAAUCAUCUCCAGCUUUGCGCACAAAGAAAAAUCCACAUGACAAACCUUAUGGAACAUUAGCGAUAUCAAGGACUUUCCAAGUUAGUGGCAGAUAUGUGUGGGAAAGUCGCCCUGGAAAUCAGACAGAGGAGGAGGAUGCACACCAAAAGAGAGAUUGGCGUCCUUCCGCA